rnacentral:rRNA from 1 species
UACGGAGGGUGCUAGUGUUAUUCGGAAUCACUGGGCGUAAAGAGCACGUAGGCGGAUAGGUAAGUCAGAUGUGAAAUCCCGGAGCUCAACUUCGGAACUGCAUUUGAUACUGCCUGUCUUGAGUGUGGUAGAGGGGGAUGGAAUUCCCGGUGUAGAGGUGAAAUUCGUAGAUAUCGGGAGGAACACCAGAGGCGAAGGCGAUCCCCUGGGCCACUACUGACGCUGAGGUGCGAAAGCGUGGGGAGCAAAC